rnacentral:snoRNA from 1 species
UUUUAGAAUAACCUACUUGAAAGUUGUCUUCACACCGUCUUUCUGAUCCUUUUGAAUUUUCACAAGAUAAGCAUCCAUAAAAUCAUUUCCUCCAUCCUCGAUAACA